rnacentral:rRNA from 1 species
UACGUAGGGGACAAGCGUUGUCCGGAUUUACUGGGCGUAAAGAGCGCGCAGGCGGUCGAUCAAGUCGAGUGUGAAAGCCCCCGGCUCAACUGGGGAGGGGCAUUCGAUACUGAUCGACUCGAAGGCAGGAGAGGGUAGUGGAAUUCCCGGUGUAGUGGUGAAAUGCGUAGAUAUCGGGAGGAACACCAGUGGCGAAGGCGACUUCCUGGCCUGUUCUUGACGCUGAGGCGCGAAAGCUAGGGUAGCAAACGGG